UAUUGCAUUUAUACACACAACUGUAACUUUCUGGUGUUAAUCAGCUGAUGACAGUCAUUGAAAAAAUAUUUGCAAAAAAGAUUAGAAAAAAGUGCAAAGUGCAUUUUGUCAUAUUUAACAUGCUAGUUACAGUUCAACGCUACUUACACAACUUACAAAUUAAUUUAAUACAAACAAACAUACAUAUAUAUGCAGUGUAAAUAGCUAUAGCGCUCCGUACAAUGUGUAAAAGUGCGCGCCUCAGCAAAUAAACAACAAUUUAGCACAGUAACUCCUACAAGUGCUAUCACACGCCGCAAGCAUUAUACGCUCAGUUUGGAAUUGAACAAGCCGGAGCAUUGACAUUAACGAGGCAUUUAAUACACAACGAAGGAGACAAGCAAGCGAUUAUAUUUCAAGAAUAUACGCACUGUUAGUUAACACAACUAUUGACAUUAGAGCGCGUUUAGUGUUAUCAACGUGUUAGACGUGCAAGAUUAUUUCAAUCAGCAUCAAGGAGGGCUUGCUCACACAAUUACGGACGGACGUUAGUAACAAUUAACAAUUGAAAGUGAACACAUUGGAGUGGCAUAAAGCAGACGUGCAGCGAUGGCGCCGAAAAUUGACAAGGAGCUAUUGCCGAUGAAGGCGCAUUAUUUCUUCUUCAAUGCAGGAACGGCGCCGGUAAUGCCUUUUAUGCCCACAUUGGCGCGUCAAUUAGGAUUCUCCACAGUGGUCAUUGGCACUAUGUAUACAAUUUUGCCAAUUGUUGGCAUGUUGGCCAAGCCGCUUUUUGGUUUCAUUGCUGAUCGCUACCAACGUCAUCGCACACUAUUCCUCAUCGGCGAAGUGCUCACCGCUAUAGCCUUCUUUCUCAUCCAGUUCACACCAGCCAUUCCACAAGCGCUGCCCACAGUGGAAUUUAAUUGUCACGGCGGCGCGUCCACACUCAAAUACUAUUCCGAAUUCGAUAAGUGCAUAGAAAACAAUCUGGAGAGUUACUAUGGUGAACGCGUGCUAACCUGUCAGCUGUAUUGUAAAGCAAAUCCAGAGCAAUUGGAUUUCGUUUGUGACAAUUGGGUGCACAACAACAGCACCAGCAAUGCCAACAACACCAGCAACAACAUUACAUGCCCUGAACGCAAUAGUCAAAAACUGAAUUUCAACACAUUUUUGGAUAUGAGUAAAAUCGAGAUGCUUGGUGAUCAUUUAUUCUUUAUCAUACCACAUGAUCGUGGUCAAAUUGGUGGUGAAAAUAUAACGCUUAAUUGUCCGCACGAUAAACCGUUAUUCAAUACAAGUUGUCAAAUUGAGUGCAAUGAUGAGUACUUCCACAGUGAACUCACGCAAUACACGGCCAUCAAUAAUGCCGAUGUGUGGGGCAUGCAUCAGUUUUGGUAUUUCUUCAUUAUGCUCAUUGUAAGUUGGAUCGGCAUGGCCGUGGUGGUGAGUAUUGGUGAUGCUAUAUGCUUUUCGAUAUUGGGCGAUCGCCAUCACUUGUAUGGCAAUCAACGUUUGUGCGGUUCCAUUGGUUUUGGUGUGUUCUCCAUUAUUGCCGGUGUGUUGGUGGAUCAAAUGUCGGGCGGUAGCGUGAACAAAGAUUAUACGAUUGUGUUUUGGAUGACGCUGGUGAUAAUGGGUUUCGAUUUGUUGGCGUCCACUAAGUUGAAGCACACACAAACUCACCUCUCACCCAAUAUACUCAAAGAUGUGGGCAAAAUGUUUCUCUCCAUCCGCUGUGUGGUGUUUUUCAUUUGGUGCAUUUCGAUUGGCUUGUGCACAGCGCUCAUUUGGAAUUUCCUCUUCAUGUACUUGGAUGAGUUGGGUGAAAAGUUGGAGGGUUGUCAGAAUUCCAUGAAAACCCUCGAGGGCAUAGCGAUGGGCAUCCAGUGUUUUGGUGGUGAAUUGCCUUUCUUCUUUCUCUCCGGCUGGAUUUUGCGCAAGAUCGGUCAUAUAAAUGCCAUGAGUUUAGUACUCUUUGCAUUCGGUGUGCGUUUCAUACUCUAUUCGGUGUUGGUGGAUCCGUGGUGGGUAUUACCGAUUGAAAUGUUGAAUGGCGUCACAUUCGGUAUUUUCUAUUCCACCAUGGCGUCGUAUGCGAGUAUUGUGGCGCCGCGCGGCACUGAGGCGACUAUGCAGGGCUUAGUCGGCGCUAUUUUCGAGGGUGUGGGCGUAUCUAUGGGCAGUCUAAUUGCGGGCAAUCUCUUUGAUGCCGUCAGUGGUAGCGGCACUUUUCUGAUUUUCGGUAUUUUCGCAUUUAUUGCCUUCAUUGUGCAUGUGUUGGUGCAGUGGUAUUUGCAGCGUAGUGGGCAAGGUGCUGCCGAUGCUAAUGGUAAGCAAACGGUUGUUGAAAAUGUUACGCAGGAAGUGAAACAGUUACCUGAAGAAAAUGGUAAAAUAUGGACGGUAGAUGCAAAGCACCCAAAGGGUGUGGACACUGAGUUCACAGAUGUUGAUUUGAGCUGAAUUUAGGCAGAGUUUUAAAAGUGUGUAUGCAAGUAAUUUGGUAUUAAAACAAAAACAAUCAAAGUUAGCAUAGUGUAAAUAGUAUUUUAGUGUGGUGAAUUCGCUAUUUGCGCGUUUUUGUUCACCAUAAAAGUUUUCUACAGUUUUAUAAAAAGUUUUUGGCACUUUUAUAAACUAUAAAGUGAUCGCCUAUAGUUAUUUAGUGUGUAGCCUUAUAUAAAUGAAGGGAUUUUUUAUAAUUCGAAAACAAGUUCAACGGUUUGUUACUAUAAAAACACCAGUGUUGCUCAGUGUAAUUAUUUUAUUGUUUCACCAAUAACUGUGUAUUACAGUUCCAUGUUGUAUAAAAAAAAAGUUCAACGAAAUUCAAAACAUCUAUUUUUGAAAAAAAAAAAACAAAACGGUAUCCAGUAACUUUUUGCAGGUUUUUGGUAUUUUUAUAUUCAAAGAAAUGUCAAUUUUUAAUAAAUACAAAUUAACGAAAAUGAAUUUUUGGCAUUAAAAUUGUAAAAGUAAGCCUAAAAUAGUUAACUCUUACAAAGUGUAUGAGCUCAAUUGCAAAAACUUGCAAUACUGACGUUUUCGAAACCCAAAAGCGCAUAAUUUACUUAGUGGAUCUCACAGGCACCGUUAAAUAUCUGACGCCCAACGAUGCCAUGCAUAUGCUCAACGAUCAGGAAUACAGUAUUGUCGCUUGAAUAAGUGAUUUCUUUAACUUUAAGAUGCUGAGUAAACAAAUAAUUUUUGUAACACUUCUGUUGCAUGCAACUGUAGUGUAACGGUAUUUUAUAUUGGCUGCGUUACAUGUUGUCUGCUGCCAGCUCUGCCUCUUGCUUUGAAGUCUUAGUUUUUACCAUUGAGCUGUGAAACAUUAAAUUUGAACUUGUUGCGUACUUACCAUUGAGUAGUAAUUAUGACGCACGAACGAAGCUGUUUUGUAACUACUCAGUUAAUACAACAACAACAACAA